GACGAACGCUGGCGGCGUGCUUAACACAUGCAAGUCGAGCGGAAAGACCCCUUCGGGGGCACUCGAGCGGCGAACGGGUGAGUAACACGCGGGUAAUCAACCCCUGACAUCGGGAUACCCCGGGGAAACCCGGAUCAAUACCGGAUAAGGUGUGGAGGCGCAGGCCGCCGUACCAAAGGGAGCUUCGGCUUCCGGUCAGGGACGAGCCCGCGGCCCAGUAGCUUGUGGGUGGGGUAAUGGCCUACCAAGGCGACGAUGGGUAGCUGGUCUGAGAGGACGAUCAGCCACACUGGGACUGAGACACGGCCCAGACUCCUACGGGAGGCAGCAGUGGGGAAUCUUGCGCAAUGGGCGGAAGCCUGACGCAGCGACGCCGCGUGCGGGAAGAAGGCCUUAGGGUCGUAAACCGCUUUCAGGGGGGACGAAGCUUCCGGGGUUAAUAGCCUACGGGGUGACGGUACUCCCAGAAGAAGGUCCGGCUAACUACGUGCCAGCAGCCGCCGCUGUAA
rnacentral:rRNA from 1 species